rnacentral:rRNA from 1 species
ACUCCUACGGGAGGCAGCAGUGGGGAAUAUUGGACAAUGGGCGCAAGCCUGAUCCAGCCAUGCCGCGUGAGUGAUGAAGGCCCUAGGGUUGUAAAGCUCUUUCACCGGAGAAGAUAAUGACGGUAUCCGGAGAAGAAGCCCCGGCUAACUUCGUGCCAGCAGCCGCGGUAAUACGAAGGGGGCUAGCGUUGUUCGGAAUUACUGGGCGUAAAGCGCACGUAGGCGGAUCGAUCAGUCAGGGGUGAAAUCCCAGGGCUCAACCCUGGAACUGCCUUUGAUACUGUCGAUCUGGAGUAUGGAAGAGGUGAGUGGAAUUCCGAGUGUAGAGGUGAAAUUCGUAGAUAUUCGGAGGAACACCGGUGGCGAAGGCGGCUCACUGGUCCAUUACUGACGCUGAGGUGCGAAAGCGUGGGGAGCAAACAGGAUUAGAUACCCCGGUGUCCCAUGAU